ACGUCACUGUCCUUUGGAAUGGUAGAGCUUGUUGUUUGGACCGAAGAUGAUGAGCUACAUGGCAACAGUGUCUGGGAUUGGUUUCCUGAAAACACCCAAAGUUUCAGGAAUGUUAGAUACAAAGGGUGAAGAGCAAGGACCGGAUGGAGAGUUCCGUAGGCUCAUCUGAUUCUAAAGCACACCGCUGUGGAGAGGCUCAUCACUGGCUCUGCCCUUCAUCCUCUUACCUGAGCAUUUUACAGAGGCCACCUGUCCUUCGGCACAGGUCGGCGCACCUAGAGCAGUCAUGAAGCAAUCCCCGAUGUGCUCCUCAGUUCCUGUGCAGUGGAACAUGUGUCUCCAGACCUGACCAGCCCCUUUCCCAAAAUGCGCUCCUCCUGGAGUAGAAAGGGCGACUCCACAUUUAAGCUGCUGACAUAAGACAUGAGCAUCUUCCAUGUCCCAGUGAGAGCUGCACAGGGGACCCCAGGCUCCGAGUGUCUUGAGCUCCACUCUUCCCUCACAGGAGGACUUGCCAUCUGCCAGACGGAUAUCUAUGUAUCCUGAAAGGAGACCGGGAUUUAGAAAAGAUAUCCAUGACUCCCUAACCCUCUCUCUUUCACAGCCUAGGGGCAAAUUGAAGAUAUUCUUUGUCUUACGUGAGCAGACGAUGCUGACAUCCCUGCUGUGGUUACAAGUUCUGUCUAACGGGGGCGCCACUGAGCACAGUGAAAGAUGGGACUCAUGCCCACUACACUGGAAUUCUUCACCCCAGAUCUGUCCACUUCCUUCUCCAAAAUGUGCUCCCCCUAGGAUAGAGACGACUGUCCCACACUGUAAUUCCCUGCACACCACACUGGCUGCUUCCAGAGACAAGUCAAAAUCACAGACGGAGCCCCACACGUCUCCGUGUUUCACUUCCAAACGACCGGAGCAUGGAAUAUCUCCUCCAACCAGUCUGGGUUCCCUGUGGCCUGAAAAACAAUAGUAUUUGGGUGAGAGGUACAGUUUCCACAUUUCUGCUCAUCAUGGGACUAGGAGCCAGGGUUCUCUGUAGUUUCACACUGCACCUCCUGGGUUUUGUCUAGACUGAGCAAUAGCAAAUUGUGGCUCUUGACUUUUUCACCGGGCCCGUCCUUCUAAGAGCCAAAAUCUCGAGGCUUUUGAAGAAAAGUAAGAUCAGAACUUCUCUUUUCUUCUAGCAUUUCACUUGCAUUUAUUCAUAAAGCACAGUUUGUUCCCAGUUUGGGCUCUGUCAGCCGGCCCAGCCCUUGCUGCAGUCAGAAGUCGACAGCAGCUUUAUCAACAUCUACAUGUAGGUUUUCAACAUAUCUUUGUUUGGAGCAUUGAAUGAACACCAGACUUUAAAAAGUGGAACACUUGAUAUCUGUGACUUUCCUGUCCUCUUCCCAUUCCUUUCUGACAGGCCUUUAUCACAGUGGUCCAUAGACAAACAGGCCUGUGCAUGCAGGCUCUUUCCGCCUUGCCAGCCCCACACUGUAUUCUGUGCUCCAUUCGAUCUGUCAGCAGGAAGGGCAGAGCUACAUCGGGCUCCUAGAUCUUGUGUCUCCAGGACCAAGAGAGAAAACAAACCUAUAGCCACUUAGUGUAGCUGGGCUUUAAAAUGUAAACAAAAGAGAUGCCAAGUAGUAAGAUAUGGAACUCAGAUUGGGAUGUGCUCCUCGUUAGGCUGGGGUGUGCUCCUGGUCAGGCUGGGGCAUACUCCUCGUCAUACCAUGAAGUUUAACCAUCAAGACAAGCAGGGCUUCCUUUAAUACCAGAAACCACUGAGUGUCUUGAAAACACGAACUACUUCAAAUUCACUUCCUUUAAAAACCAGAAGUUCAUCUGAGGUUGGACCUUCUAAAGAGCAAACAUCCUUCACAGAUGCCUGUGCAAACCUUUGAUGCCGUCCUCACUGUGGUACAGAUGGACAGACAGCCCUUCAGCCCCUGCGGUGCUUGUACUCUCUGUGUACACUUCAGAUCACGUGUCUUUUACCUUACACUAAAAUAUCUCUGAAAAAGUUCCAGAUAUGACUACUUUCUGCAUUAUAAAUAGAAUGUCUCAUCCUGAUGGCAUUUUACGAAUAAAGUGAAUUCUUAUCCAAGUAUGA